AUGGAGUGGCAACAGGAAAACCUCUCUACAUACUGUACCAAUUCAAAGAAAGCUGCAGAGUGUGGAGGGAGUGGAGAAAACCUUCAGUCUAAGCAGGCCAACAAUGUUGACAUCUCUGACAGAGAGUAUGUUGAUCUUCCUGAAGCCCCGGGCCUUCGUUCAAUCACUAGACGCUUCACUGUCCCUAAAAGUCGCUGGAACAAAGGCACAAAUGUCACCUGCAAAGUCAAUCAAGGCUUCUUCAGCAGCUUCAAUGAGGUCACCAUGAGUGCUGAUGGACGUGUGGCAGUGACCAGUAAACUUCCAAUCCCUCAAAAAGAGUGGAAAAGCGGGAAGGUCUUCACUUGUGAAGUGUCUGACAGCUCUCUGAAUGCAAAUGUCAGCAAGAACAUCAGCCUGUGUUCAGUAACUCCAGCAUCAUCUCAGGUAGUUGGUGUAUAUGUUCAGGGACCACCACUCCAGGAGAUUCAGAACAGGGGACAGGUGACUAUCACCUGUCUUCUGGUCGGCCCUCAUCUUAAUGAUUUCUCUAUCACACUUCCUGAAUUUCUAUAUUGAGCCAUCAGUGAGUCACAGUAACAACACAGAGACUUUGCAGAGCUUCUUCAAUAUGUCAACAGAGGAUUGGCACGCAUAUAAACAAGUGUCUUGUGAAGCAAAGCAGCGGUGCUCCAACCAGAGCUACAAACACCAUAUAAGCAAAAGCAGAGACCUGUAUCAACCAAGAGUGAAAUUAUUACAACCAACUCCCUCUGAGCUCUCUACGUCAGACGUCCUCACACUCAUUUGCCUAGUUUCUGGAUAUUCUCCAUCCAAAACAUAGUGUACUGGGAAGAGAAUGACCAGAGACUGCAACCAACUCGCUACACCAACAGUGCUGCAUGGAAAUACCCAGGGAGCAGCACUUAUUCAAUGAGCAGCAGACUAAACGUAUCCAAAACUGAGUUCUACAUAUUCUUGUGCUGUGAGACAUGAGUCAUCUGAAAGGCUUUUUGAAAGCUAUAUAAAUAAUGUGUUUGCCACAGUGACCCACAGCACACCUUCAGCCACCUUGCUCCAGGGCACAAAUGAACUUGUAUGCCUGGUCUUUGGCUUCAGCCCUGCAACCAUUAAUAUCACUUGGUAUGAUGGACCAAAGGAAUCGUUGGACUACAACACUAGUGAGCCCCACAGAGGCCAGAACGGAAAGUUCAGUAUCCAAAGCUACCUUCGUCUGUCCCAGAGCAACUGGUUACGAGGGAAAGUAAUUACCUGCAGGGUGAUGCAUGUAAACACCACCCUAUCCCUGAAUAUAUCUAAACCAGGCAUAUUGGAGCACUGUGACUUCUUUGAUGACAUCAUGCAUGCAGAUUUGAAUGAAAACAUAGGUGUGGAAAGCUGGUAUAUAGCCUUCACUUUCCUUCUCUUUUCUCAUCUCUUUCAUCUAUAGUGACUUGACUACCAUAAUUAAGACUUAAUGAUGAUGAUCACAGGACAGAUCCUAUUUCAUGAUUCAUAUGAGAACUUUGGAUGACAUAUGACCUGAUUAGUUUUAGAUUCCUUUUUUUUCUAAAAUGUCUUUUUCAUUUUCUUUUCUUUUUUUAUACUUUUGUUAUCAUGGAAUUUUAUGGAGGUGGUUUAUUCUAUGCUCAUUUCUUUUGAUGCUUCAGUGUAUUUGCUGUGGAAUGUAUGUAACGCAAAUGCGUAAGAGGAAAAGAAGACAAAAUAAAUGAAGCUUCAAAUUCUGAUUUUCAGACUCAUAUUCUAAUA